UUUCCACCGCCCGUUAAAACGGAAUGUUCUACCCUUGGAGGGGUUGUUGGCCCCUUGAAGGCGUUGGCCUUUUCGUGAGCUAACCGCGGUUUAAGUAGACCCGCCCUUGGGGAGUACGGGUCGCAAGAUUAAAAACUCAAAAUGAAUUGGACGGGGGGCCGCACAAGCGGUGGAGCAUGUGGUUUUAUUUCGAUGCCACGCGAAGAACCCUACCUACUCUUGACAUCCAGAGAAGCCAGCGGAGACGCAGGUGUGCUUCGGGAACUCUGAGACAGGUGCUGCAUGGCUGUCGUCAGCUCGUGUUGUGAAAUGUUGGGUUAAGUCCCGCAACGAGCGCAACCCUUAUCCUUGUUUGCCAGCGAGUAAUGUCGGGAACUCCAGGGAGACUGCCGGUGAUAAACCGGAGGAAGGUGGGGACGACGUCAAGUCAUCAUGGCCCUUACGAGUAGGGCUACACACGUGCUACAAUGGCGCAUACAGAGGGCAGCAAGCUAGCGAUAGUGAGCGAAUCCCAAAAAGUGCGUCGUAGUCCGGAUUGGAGUCUGCAACUCGACUCCAUGAAGUCGGAAUCGCUAGUAAUCGUGAAUCAGAAUGUCACGGUGAAUACGUUCCCGGGCCUUGUACACACCGCCCGUCACACCAUGGGAGUGGGCUGCAAAAGAAGUGGGUAGUUUAACUUCUCGGGGAG
rnacentral:rRNA from 1 species